rnacentral:rRNA from 1 species
AGUGAACGCUGGCGGUAGGCCUAACACAUGCAAGUCGAACGGCAGCACAGUAAGAGCUUGCUCUUACGGGUGGCGAGUGGCGGACGGGUGAGGAAUACAUCGGAAUCUACUUUUUCGUGGGGGCUAACGUAGGGAAACUUACGCUAAUACCGCAUACGACCUACGGGUGAAAGCAGGGGAUCUUCGGACCUUGCGCUAUUGAAUGAGCCGAUGUCGGAUUAGCUAGUUGGCGGGGUAAAGGCCCACCAAGGCGACGAUCCGUAGCUGGUCUGAGAGGAUGAUCAGCCACACUGGAACUGAGACACGGUCCAGACUCCUACGGGAGGCAGCAGUGGGGAAUAUUGGACAAUGGGCGCAAGCCUGAUCCAGCCAUACCGCGUGGGUGAAGAAGGCCUUCGGGUUGUAAAGCCCUUUUGUUGGGAAAGAAAAGCAGCAGGUUAAUACCCCGCUGUUCUGACGGUACCCAAAGAAUAAGCACCGGCUAACUUCGUG